rnacentral:lncRNA from 1 species
AAAUGUUAAGGAAAGACUGGAAGACAAUGAUGGACAAUUUCAAGAGAAGUCAUGUGGAAGAAAGGAAAGUCUUCGUUCAUUUUCUAGAGAAGCUUGGACAAAAACCAAGGGUGGAAGCUAUGAAGACUUAGCUUUUGGCUGCAGGAGCCUGAUUCCUGUCUUACUGUAUACCAAUAACAUGAAGAAUAUGUGUGGAACACUUAAGGAUGACUGACUGCAGGAGACGAGAGUAAAUACCAUGAGUGUUUACUGCUCCAACAAUUCUCGAAUGGAUCUGGACCACAUUUAACUGGGAUCACAGCAGUUGUUCCUUUGGAGUGGCCUGGUGAUGAUUACAACAGAAGCAUUCCUUGGGCCCACACUUGAUAGACACACAUAUGGUUUGAUCAUUGCAGAUGGCUAACAACUCUCCUUCAGACACGGUGAUGUGGUGUUUUAAGAGUAAAACUAUCUAAAAUCAGAAUUAUGUCCCUGUGGAAAUAAUAAAGCAUUUAUUCA